GCUGUAGUCUCUUGAGUAGUCUUCUGCACCUUCUCAGCAAUGCUGUUGCUGCUCUGAUGUACCUGCAGGUCUUUCUGCUAUUCCCUCCAGUUUGCCGUGUACAAGGACAGGAGAAGCUUGAUGAAGAUCAGACAGAUCUGCAUAGACUGCGUGGAUAAGAAUCAGAACGCUGCCUGGCUUUGGCUAGAAUUGAGGAGUGGAGUGGCAACAUAUGGAAAACUAAACUAGAAGAUAGCUUCGGUUCAGAUUUCUCUCUUAUUACCCAUUGCCUAUUUGUACACACAUCAUUCCGCUCCUUGACAAAAGGAACAUAGCACAUAGCUAUUCGAGUUUCCUCUAGAGGUCAUCCGUUGGUCAGCCAUAGCAUGGUAGUGGACCAUGAUGUGGGGAAAUAACAACAAUAAAAAAUAUGCUAUUAAAUUGCAUAUUUAGGUGGAGACAUAUAAUGAAACAAUAUAAUCAUGAUGAACACUGGAAGCUAUUUGGAGCUGACAAGUUACCUGCAAGACGGGGAGUAUAAAAUCAUUAUUCCAGGAUCAGUCCGUCCUUUCUAGUCACUAGGCAUGUAAA